GGCAUUAUGGGAAAUUCAGCGAUGAAUAAGAUGCAAAGACCAGGCUAGGGGGAGGGGAGGAGGUGACAAACAUUUGUUGAGGACCUGCUCUGUGCCAGCACGAUGCCAGAUACUUAGGUUAUUCCCCUGAAUUCACACCCCACAGGGUAGGUUCUGUUAUAUAAUCCCCACUUUGCCGCGGACACAGCUGAGAUUAGGGAACGCGCCCGACGUUACUCCACUACUAUGUGGUGGAGAUAAUGUUUAAAACCUGCAUUGUUUCCCUAACCCAUCCCCGCAUACAGCAUACGGCACAGCAAGAGAGACCCAUGUAAUCCAGAGACAAGUGGGAUCCAGAACCCAGUGCUAAGCAUUCUGAAGGCAGGAUCAAGCCAGACACCGUGUUUGUCAACUGUCAUCACACACGCCCAGGAUGGCUGAAUUUCUCCUGUCUUCUUCAGCCCCAGACUUGCUGGGCUGAACUACAGAUCCGUCUGUCAUUUUAGUUAUAUGAUGUCUCCCUGUUCCCUGAACCAGGCACUAGGGGCCUGGGUGGUGCCAAGAAUGCUGGUAAACACUUACAAAGAAUGCAUUAUACAUGAGAGUUUCAUCGAAAUGCUUUAUAUGUGCUAACACGGUUAACACAAUCUGAUGAAGUUGGUACUGUUAUUAUCACCAUUUUAGUGAUAAAGAAACUGAGGCACAGAGAGGGGGAGGAACUUGCCCAAGACUGCACAGCUAGAACUGGCCAAGCUGGGAUUUGAGUCCGGAGAGGCUGGGUUUGGAGUUUGGGCUCUUGGUGACUUUAGGGGACUGCCUCUUAAUGGUUUAAAUGCAAAUACUCUAUGGGUGGGGCACUGUGCUGGACGCUGGAGACACAAUGGCCAACAAUUAUGCAUGGGGCCCACCUAAAGUAGCCCAAGGCCUACAGGGGGAUUCAGCUAUCAACUAGCAAUUUCACCAUAGAGCAGUCAGUGCCCUGGAAGCUGUGGGGUACAGGGUUAGGAGUGGGCUCUGAUUCUGUCUGGGCUAGAAUCUCUGUUCCUCAACUUCCCUGCUGUGUGAUCUUGGGCAUGUUAACGAACAUCUCUGAACUUGAAAGCAUCACUGUGAGGAUUAAAUGAGAUAAUAUGGAGAGAUGGUUACCCUAGUGGGACAUGUUGCCUAGGUUUGAUUCCUGGUCCCAUCACUUCCUGGCUGUGUGAGCUUGGGCAGGUUACUUCUCUGUGCCCCAGUUUCUCAUCUAUGGAGUGGGGAUAAUAUUAUCUACUUCACAGAGUUGUCAUCCGAUUAGAAUGGUUUAAUACAUGCAAAGUGCAUUAUCCGUGAGCACUCAUUAUCUAAUAACAGCAUUCUUAUUUGAGUCUGUCCCCCUGGAUAUGGCCAAGUGUUACAGCACUGAAUUCACUGUGCUUCCUCAUGCUUCCAUCCCUUUGCACAUACUGUUCCCUAUACCUGGAAAGCUCUUCCCUACCUUCUGUGUCAGAUGGACAACAGCUCAUUCUUCAAGGUCCAACUCAAUGUCCCCUUUGUAGUCUUUUAUAGCUCCAGCAGGGGAAGUUAAUCAUCUUUGCACACACCCCGGCUUUCCAACACCCACCCUUGUGCCUGGCAACGACAUAGGCUAGAUUCUGAGGAGGCUCAGAUGUUUUUUUCCUACUUCCCCACCGAGCUGCAUUGCCUGGGCUCACGGAGGACAGUGAGUGAACUCUGAAACUUCGUAAUGAACUUAAAAAGUGGAUGUCAUAUGAGGGAGUUCUCGGAAACAGUCCCCCAGAAUAGUACCUGUCUAUUCCUGAAUAUGUGACUUAAUCCAUAUUUAGUGAGACUAUUAGUCUGCUGUCUACUCUAGCUAUUGGCUGACGCUCUGGUGCGUGUUGUUUUCUGAUACAAAUCGCUUGUAUUUCGUUGUGUGCUCCGGAGACCCUGAAGAAAGUAUAAUGCAAAUAUUUAGCGAGAACUAAGAAAUAGUCUUACAGUCAAUGCUACAUUCUUUCUUGCAUCCAUUCAUUUACAAGAAUUUGUUACACCUUUUAUUUAUUACCUUUUAUAACAAUUGUGUAUCUGGGUGGCAGGCUUAUAGCUACACUCAGAUGUGCAAAGAAAAAUGUCAUUUCUUUCUGUUCGAGAAUUUCAUAAGCCUCCUCGCCGCGUCGACGGUGGAGAAACCUCGACUUGUCAGUUGAUGACAUCUCGGGCUCUGUGGUUUGAAUGGCCUCCUUUCAGUGGGGGAGUCAGUCCAUCCCAGGUCUGACUCCCCAGCAGAGUUAGGUGACGUUGUCUCUUUGGGAUGACUUGAUCCCUUUAGGUAAAUGUUCAGUCUUUCAAAUUUCUACCUUCCCCCCUUCUCCUCCCCAAGCUGCUGUCUGGGUAUAUAGGAGCCAACUGUGUCUUUGGAGCGUUGGGGGUGGCAAGGCACGGGGAGAGAGAGUGAAGGUCUCCUGACCUCAUGAUGCUCCUUGCCUGGUCUCCACUGGGUGCUGUGGGUCUGAACUCCGGCCGUGUCAGGCUGCCCACUGUUGAGGAGUGGGCAGCCUGAUCCUGUCCUGGGUAUCUGGCUGCCGAGUGACCGUGGAGCACGACUCCAGCCUGUCUGUGCCCCAAGCACAGGCAAGACCCCCAGGAGCAUGGCCUGCUGCCCUUGCUGACCAAGCCCCGCCUUGUUCUCGCUGGUGCUGCCCAUGCCCCUGAGGUCUGCCUGGGCAAGUUUCCAGCCUGGGCAGACGGAAUGUGAAUGGCCCCCUGGCUGAAGGGUCACCUGGGCCUGGUGGCAGCCAGCUUCUUCCUCAGGAGCCCCAGGCUGAGUCUCCAAUAAGCUCUCAACCCCCCUCAGGUAGCUGUGGAAGCCUCUGGUUCCUUUCCCCAUCACAGGAGGAUUGAGCUGGCUCCAGAGGGCAAAUCAGACCAAGACUGACACAGAGUGAGGGCAGGGCGUCUGCAAGGGGUCUCUUCCCAGAAUUGCAAACGAGAAUGGGGCAGAGGCCCCCCUCCCUCCUCAUCAGCUUUCUCCUCAACCCAACAAGGUCCCCUGAGCCAGCACUUCAGCUCAGAGGCGGUGUCUGACUCCAGCUUCUCACGGGGCCCUCCCUCUGCGUUUCUGUCUUCCUCCCACCAUCCCUUGCGGCGGAGAAAGCCAACUUCAUUCUUCGUCCUCUCUGGCAGGGACUUCCCUACAUCAUGUCUUCCUUCCAUGGACCUUCAGCCUUGUGGCUCAACCUUAAAAACGGAAGAGAUACCCACUCUCCCUUAAAAGAAACCCUACCUCGCACUCCCCAUAUGUCAAUAACAUCAAAAAUAACUUUUCUAAGUCUUUUUCUGGAUACUAUGAUCCUAUAAAAGACUCAGAAACUCCUGCUCUGAAUAUUAAAAGUUGGAUAUCGGUCCCCUGUCGCUCUCCUGUUCUUGCUUUUCGACUCUGGACUGGGGAAGUCUUCCUCCUCCCCAGGACAAGCACAUGCUGGGCAAGGCACAGGGACGCAAAGGAGAGGACGUUCCGCGUUACUAUGUCUCCAAAACUGUGAUCCUGGUUUGAGCAGCCAGUGUUUACCGAGCACUUACCAUGGGCUGAGCAUUGGGUCUAUGUCAUCUCAUUUAAUCCUCUUAACAGUCUGUGAGGGGGGUGUAUCAUUUCCCCAUUUUACAGAUGAGCAAACUGAGAAGUCCUUAGCCCAGAGUCAAACAGCACGAGCAUGAGAUAGCCCAAAACAGAGCACAGGCUUGUCUGACUCAUAACCCCUGUCCUGAAGGGGAGUGUAAGACCUACUUGCCAGAAAUUUGCAGGACAAGAGACACUCACGAAACCAUGCAAGGCAGUGUAUGAGCCAUUCCAAACCAUGUAUGAAGGAAAGAAACUUAAUGCUCCUUGUAGGUCUGCCCCCUGCUGGGGACUUCCAGAUACCCUGUCCUCUCAUCUUCUCAAAAGUCCUGGCUCCGUGUUUAAAGAUGGGCAGGCAGCUGGACUCAAGGAUGCUACCCAAACGGUCAUGAAGUGGCAGAACUGGGGUUUGCACUCAGUUCCAUAUGAUUUCAAGGCCUAGCGUCUUCCGCUAUUCUAUGCUUGACCUGUUGGUUAGGGGGAGAGGGAUCAGGCUUACUUUCCUGGCCUAGAAGAGCUAACAAUGUAGUCAGAGAAAUGCAGCUUAUGCACAGGUAACUACAACGUGAGGUGGAAAGUGGUAAAUGUCAGGAGGGAGUAAGGGACAGGCAGUGGGAUGGUCCAAGGGGUGGACCCCAGCCCCCCGCACAGAGCAGCGAGCUGCAAAUGGCUGUUGAACAAGAGGGCGGGGGCCAGGCACAGCAUCCCAGGGAGCAUACUUUGAGCUGGAUAUUGACCGAUGACCAGCAUUUCAAAGGCUCGAUAGAGAGGCCCGUCUGGGAGUGACACAGGGGGGCGAAGGCUCAGACGCAGGAAAGCAUGGGGCAAGUCGUCCUGUGUGGAUGGAGUUUGGGGACAUGAAGAGGCCAGGGGAAGAUUAGGCUGGGGCCAGAUUGCAAAGGCUUUCAGUGCAGAGCCAAGGAACUUGAUUUGGGGGUCACUUGAGGAGGCCGCCAUUGGCAGAUUUUUUUUUUUUUAAUUGGGUAAGACUGGAGCCAGGCUUUGAGAAGAUGAAUGCGGCAGAGUGAGCAGGAUGAAGUUGAGACUAAUAGCACAGCCGAGAAAAAUAGUGAGGAUGGAGGGGAGUGGUGGUAAGGCAACUGGAAAAUAUGAAACAGACAAUAGGCGCUUUAGGCAACCUGGUGGGUCCAGGCUGCUCCUGGCUGGCUUACCUGUUGCUGUGACCAGUGUUAUCUCUCGGGCCCAGGAGGAAACACCCUGAGCACUACAGCCCCCAGUGUGUGUCCCAGGAGCUGGCCUUAAGGCCAGGACAGGAUGGUCUUCUGCACCUGGUCCAGGUAAGCAGUUUCUGGAAGUGGUGGGCAAGGCCAGGCUGUGUCACUUAUUCACAGAACAUACCUACCUCUUCCAUUCCAUGAGCCAGAGAUCAAGGGAUGAGGAAGGACACAGGGAGGGAGAGACAGAUACCUUUGUCGAGCACUCACUCUGAUCCUCGAUAACCCAAUAAGCACAGGUGCUAUUUGCAGAUUAAAAAUUUGAGGCUCAGAGAUGUUGAGCAAUUUUCUCAAGGUCACAAAGCUAGCAAGGGGCAGAGUCAGAAUUUGCACUCAAGUCUUUCUGAUCAUGUGCGCUCUGUACACUUUCCUCUCCAAAGCGCACUUCCCACCUCCCGACCCCCAACCUUUCACCUCCUGCGUCUCCUGAUCGGAAGCUGUCUGCCAUGUACGAGCAACCUAAAAUUGUCUCCUACUAGAAGCUUCCCACAAAAAUACAUCAGCCUGGUCCUGCAGACCCUCCCCAGGAACGCUAACUCUGAAUUUGGUUGGAAGUAGGGUCCUAAUAUUUUUUUCUUAACUUGUUUUCUUACCUUUUUCUUGCUUUCUCCUUACCUUGUUUUUUUAAAGGAAAGAGGGAGAAAAUGUAUCGGGGCUGGGAAAAAGCAGUGGCGGGAAUGCAACUUGAUAACUGAUGAUUUUCUGAGUGCUUCAGCCUGAAGGAAGCCAACAGCUGCAACAUAUUGGUUACAUGGAAAUCAUUAAGUCAUUCUGGGAAGGAAUGACAAAUGUGUGAGCCUGUGUAUAUAUGGCAGACAUGUGUUUAUGUAUGGAGCGGGGCACCCACAGAGGGGCCUGCCUCAGUCUUGCCUCCGGGCCACGGGACGGAAAAAGACCUGCAAUUAAAGCCCCAAUGCAGGCGAUGAUUCUGGAAAUCAAAUUCUUGUUUAGGGUAAAGUUUGAACUUAAAUUUAGGGAGAAAUCAUCCCUUCUUUGUCAUCUAACAUGAUAGGGACGCCCUUUAGCAAGAUCCAGCAUGGUGGGGUGGACACAGGCUGGACAGGGUGUCAGGAGUCCUCGGUUCUCAUUUCUCUCCGUCACUAACUAGGGUGUGACCCUGAGAAAGUUUCUUCUCCCUUUUGGGCUUCAGUUUCUCAAACGUAAAAUGAGGGGGUUUGACAAGAUGGUCUCUGACGUCACUUCCUGUUCUCACAUGCUGUCAACGUGCAAUACAUUUUUAUAGCAUAAAUUCUGUGAGACUGAGCUUCUAUUUCUUAGAAUAGAGCUACCUGUUCCCCCACCCCCACCCAAAAAAUGUUUGCUCUAGUAAAACUAGAUUUUUAUAUAAAUCUCAUUUGCUUAGCCUCAUAUAACUAUUAGCAUUCACAAUUAGUUAUGCCCCAGGAUGUAAGACAAUUAAAGCAAGAUAAUUAGUCACUUCCAGCAAAGGUGCCCACAUCCCAGGCUUGGGUGCAUGGAAGGGCUGAAGCAUGUCAUGGCUCAUGGGGCAAAGAACUAGCUUCUCCAGGCUUGGCCUCUGAACCAGUAACACACGGACCUGGAGGCACAUGAACCCAUAUGAGGUCUGUUGUCCCUGGACCAUGGAGAAAUGUGGCUGUCAGUCAUACAUUGUGUGUGUGUUGGGGUAGGGACUCAGGGAGGAGAGGGCAGGAGCCAGUUGUUGGUCAGACCCAAUUUGAUCCUCUCGAUGACCCAAAAGGUAGGUACAAUUUUCAUCUCUGUCUUAAAGGAAGUGGCAGAAUCUGGACCCAAACUAGUUCUCUUACCUUCCAGUAAGUCUGUUCUUAGCCACAACAUGCUGAUGUAGGGUCUCCCCACCUCGGCACUAUUGAUAUUUUAGACUGGGUAACUUUGUUGUAGGGGUGUGAUGGCUGAAUGUCUGUGUCUCCCCAAAAUUCCCAUUGAAGCCCCAACCUCCAAUGUGUUGGUAUUUGAAAGUGGGGACUUUGUGAGAUAAUCAGGUUUAGAUGAGGACAAGGGGCUAGGACCCCCGUGAUGGGAUUAGUGCCCUUAGAAGAAAAGGAAGAGAGAGAGAUUUCUCUCCAUCUCCACACUCACACCCCUAGGAAAGGCCGCAUGCGCACACAGCAAGAAGGUAGCUGUCUACAAACUAAGAAGAAGGCACUCCCGAGGAAUCGGAUCCGCCAGCACCUUAUCUUGGACUUCCCAGACUCCACAACUGCAAGAAACAAAUGUCUGUUGCUUAAGCCACCAGGUCUAUGGCAUUUGGUUACAGCAGCCCAAGCUGGCCAAGAUGGAGGACUGUCCCAUGCUCUAUAGCAUGUUUAGAAGCGUCCCUGGCUCCCUGCCACUAGACGCCAGUAGUAAUCUGCCUAGUUGUGACAACCUAAAAUAUAUCUGGGUAUUGGCAAAUAUCCACUGAAGGGGAAAGUUGUCCCCAGGUGAGAAUCACUGUUCUAAUAGCCCAAGGUGGGAGGAGAAAAUGGCAGCCACAAGGCCCAAAUAACACCUCACUUAAAUUCAAGUCUAAGGAGUGAGCCCAGAGAUGGAGUUGGGUGUGGCAUCAGUAGGGAAGCAUGGACCGAGCCAGGAACCUGGCAAGCAGAUCCAUGACCUCAGACAUUAACAAACUGAGAUGUCCAAAGUACCUCCUUGCGGCGAGCUAUCAAGAAUGGCUGGGUUGGCAUACAUCUGAGCAGGCACCGGUGAUCCUUAGCUCAGAUCCUUUCUUUUCAUUAACUCAAGAACCGUGUGUCAAAGCCCUGCUGACUUCCAAGCACUGAGCUGGCCCUGGGAAGCCAAGAUGGAUGAGCAGCGCAGCCAUGCCUGUCAGAGCGUGCAUUCUAUCAAGAGAGACACGAAUGCUAAUAACGGCCUUGGUCGUGACAACCUUACCCAGAUGUCAGCUGGAGACCUCCUGACCCUUUAGGAUCUGAAGAAAAUUCCUCGGCCCUGUCAGAUUUUUGCUGAUGCCUGGUAGGCUCAUCUUCUCCGGUACCCACCGUCUUUGUUUGGGGCACUGGCUACCCCGUGGCCAUCAUCCCACAACACAUGAACCCCAGCACCAGGUUCAGCCUUUUCUCCUGCUGCCACCGCAAUCAACAAUCUCUCCCACCAAGGCUGGUGUGUUUUGUACACUCACCGACCUCCCAGCCAGGUCCCAGGUAAGGGCUCUCGUCUCCUGACGCCGUCUUCCUCCAUCUUGUUGGCCUUCCCUACUCUCCCAUCCCCCUCCCAGUUCGCCAAAAUCUCCAAUUUCACCUCAUCUUCUUAUGCAGAGGUUCCCUGCCACCCUGAGGCCUUGGCACCAGCUGACCCCAGGCCGUUAGGAGGUUCUCCUUCUAUCUCAACCACCUACCAAAGUUCUUUCCCCGCAAAGACUUCCCUCCCUAAGGAGACCUAUGGAGGCAGCUUUUAUAAGGUGAUAAAAUCAGUCCGUAGCAGUGUAGUAACACUUGGUGUUAUAAUAAUAUUUUUGUCCUCUCUCUAAUGUUAGGCAAUGAGCCAAGGGCUUGAUGUCCAUUAUCUCAUUUUAAUAAUAGAAUCAGAUCAUUACGGUACUGUGCGAUAAACACCCAGCAUAGCAAUUCAGACCAUACUCUUCAGAGUUCAAAUCUCAGCUCUGUCUCUUAAUAGCUGUGUGAGCUUGGGCUUCUCGCUUCACUGCUCUGUGCCUCCAUUUUCUCCAUUUGUAAAAUCGGUUAGUAGGACUAUCUUCCACUUAGGGUUGUUGUAAGGAUUGAGAAAGUAAAUAAAGGUGUAAAGUGCUUAGAACAGUGUCUGGCGCUUAGUACACAUUCAGUAAAUGUUGGCUGUUAUUGUGAUCACUGAAGAAUUAACAGAGGGGUUUGAGACUGAGGUUGUCUUACGAUAGGGACAGAUCAUAGGGCAGGAGAUUUAGGGGAAGAGUUCUAAAUGAUGCGUAGGAGUUUGCCCCCAGGAACAUCGGACGCUCUGAAUUUUAUGAAAUCAAGCCCUUCUGAUCAUGCCUUCUCAACCUUGUCAGCUUUCCCUCGUGGCUUUCCUCAUCCAUUUCUCCUUCCCACAAGGCUCAGUGAGACACUUGGGAAAAUAUUUUCCAAAAUAAAUUUCAAGUCAUUAUUUGACCCAAACCACCCAUUUCUGUGGCCCAGCCCUGUCUACUAAUGUUACCGCCCUAUCCCUAUUUAGACUGAGGUUUUAUAACUGACCAGCCCUUCACCAGGGCUUCCCUGACUUGCCACCUCCUGCCUGAGUCAUCCCGUGAUGUCACAAUCCCAGAUUUAUGAUGUUGGCCAGUGUGGUCUCAGGGAUGACUAUAGACGGGACCGGCCUCAAGCCCAGCUGUGAAACCAGUCACAUUGUGUUCCACCUCCCACCACCCCAUUCUUCCAUGAUGUAGUGGAAAGAGCAUGUUCCGGGCAUCAGACAGAAGGGGGUUGCCGCCACGCUCUACUCUUUCCUUUCUGGGUGAUUUUGGACCAGGAGGGCUUCUCUAACUCUCAGUUUCUUCACUGGUGAAUGGAGGCCUAAAUGACAACGCCUGUGCCGGGUUUCGAGAUAUCCAAGGAAAAGAAAAAUGAAACAAAACAAAGACCCCAAGCCAACUUUUCUGUUCAGUUCCAACUGUAUUGAAUGUUCAGCCACGGUUCUCCCCAAGACGGAGUUCAGCAUCACCCAACCCCAGUGCAGAUGAAGGGAGGGUUCUCAGCGGGCUUCCUCAGAAUGGAAAAUGGUUCAUUUCAGUUGGGAAGAUAUUCAGAAAUUCCAGAGUCCUUCUCUAUCAAUAAUUUGAGGGGAAAAAAAUAUAUAUGCCCCGAUUUGGGUGGAGAAAAUGAAGUCGGUGGGUUGACGCAGCAUCAGCUAUGAAUAAAUGUCUCCCUCUAUCACAGUC